rfam:Salmo salar isolate Sally breed double haploid chromosome ssa20, whole genome shotgun sequence.
UGAAUGCAUGACUGAAAGUCACUUUGGAUAAAAGUGUCUGCUAAAUUUCAUAUU